rnacentral:rRNA from 1 species
UACAGAGGUCUCAAGCGUUGUUCGGAUUCAUUGGGCGUAAAGGGUGUGUAGGUGGCGCCGUAAGUCGGGUGUGAAAUUUCGGAGCUUAACUCCGAAACUGCAUUCGAUACUGCCGUGCUUGAGGACUGGAGAGGAGACUGGAAUUUACGGUGUAGCGGUGAAAUGCGUAGAUAUCGUAAGGAAGACCAGUGGCGAAGGCGGCUCACUGGCCCGGUACUGACGCUGAGGUGCGAAAGCGUGGGGAGCAAACAGG